rnacentral:rRNA from 1 species
GGGGGAUAUUGCACAAUGGACGAAAGUCUGAUGCAGCAACGCCGCGUGGAGGAUGACACAUUUCGGUGCGUAAACUCCUUUUAUAUGAGAAGAUAAUGACGGUAUUAUAUGAAUAAGCACCGGCUAACUCCGUGCCAGCAGCCGCGGUAAUACGGGGGGUGCAAGCGUUACUCGGAAUCACUGGGCGUAAAGAGCAUGUAGGCGGAUUAAUAAGUUUGAAGUGAAAUCCUAUAGCUUAACUAUAGAACUGCUUUGAAAACUGUUAAUCUAGAAUGUGGGAGAGGUAGAUGGAAUUUCUGGUGUAGGGGUAAAAUCCGUAGAGAUCAGAAGGAAUACCGAUUGCGAAGGCGAUCUACUGGAACAUUAUUGACGCUGAGAUGCGAAAGCGUGGGGAGCAAAC